GACGAACGCUGGCGGCGUGCCUAAUACAUGCAAGUCGAGCGGACGAAUCGAAAGCUUGCUUUUGAUUCGUUAGCGGCGGACGGGUGAGUAACACGUGGGCAACCUGCCCUGUAGACGGGGAUAACACCGAGAAAUCGGUGCUAAUACCGGAUAACACGAAAUGUCGCAUGACGUUUCGUUGAAAGACGGCGCAAGCUGUCGCUACAGGAUGGGCCCGCGGCGCAUUAGCGAGUUGGUGAGGUAACGGCUCACCAAGGCGACGAUGCGUAGCCGACCUGGGAGGGUGAUCGGCCACACUGGGACUGAGACACGGCCCAGACUCCUACGGGAGGCAGCAGUAGGGAAUCUUCCGCAAUGGACGAAAGUCUGACGGAGCAACGCCGCGUGAGCGAAGAAGGCCUUCGGGUCGUAAAGCUCUGUUGUUAGGGAAGAACAAGUAACGCAGUAACUGGCGUUACCGUGACGGUACCUAACGAGAAAGCCACGGCUAACUACGUGCCAGCCGCCGCCGUAA
rnacentral:rRNA from 1 species